GAAGGUGUACCAUGUGCCCUUAAAGGUGAACCCAGUGCACCUUCAUGAACCGUGGUACACCUUUAAGAACUUGAUAUGCCUUC
rnacentral:pre_miRNA from 1 species